UGAUGUGUGUGAUUUAGUUGUCUAGAUUAUGCUUUUUAUCGUGUGAUUUUUCUUUGAUAUUACCCAAGUUUGUGGUGUUUCGCUGCAGGAAUUGCAUGGAUGGAGAGUGAAAGCUCGUGGAUGCUGUGAGAUCGAGAAUGGUGUAGAUUUGAUGAUGUUGGCGUUGAUUUUAGAGAAGAUUAAAUAUUUGGGCUUGGAGUAUUUGUUCUAAAUUUAAUUAAGUCCUAAACUUUUGAUUAAUUAUUUAAGUGGGCCUUUUGUUUGAAUUAGGCAGCCCACUUUAGAGUGAGGCGGCAGUUUAAUGUUUUAUGGGAAUUAAUUCCCUUAGUUUUGGGGAUUCCAAUUAGCUGCAAACUUUAGAUAGAUAUAUAGGUUAUUAGUUUAGUUUUUAAGGGGAGCCGCAUAUUAGUGAUAGAGUUUAGGGUUUUAUUUUAAUUAAC
rnacentral:lncRNA from 1 species